UUGGCAAAAUCAUAGUCUCCAAAAUUAUUGUUAUGGGUUCAAAUCCCAUUUUUCCUG
rnacentral:tRNA from 1 species